CAGGACGAACGCUGGCGGCGUGCUUAACACAUGCAAGUCGAGCGAUGAGAUCACUUCGGUGAAGGAUUAGCGGCGAACGGGUGAGGAACACGUGAAGAAUCUGCCUUCAACUCUGGGAUAACUCCGGGAAACCGGGGCUAAUACCGGAUAUGAGCCUUGAUCGCAUGAUCGGGGCUGGAAAGUUUUUCGGUUGAAGAUGACUUCGCGGCCUAUCAGCUUGUUGGUGAGGUAAUGGCUCACCAAGGCGACGACGGGUAGCCGGCCUGAGAGGGCGACCGGCCACACUGGGACUGAGACACGGCCCAGACUCCUACGGGAGGCAGCAGUGGGGAAUAUUGGGCAAUGGAGGAAACUCUGACCCAGCGACGCCGCGUGCGGGAUGAAGGCCUUCGGGUUGUAAACCGCUUUCAGCAGGGAAUAAGCGCAAGUGAAGGUACCUGCAGAAGAAGCACCGGCUAACUAUGUGCCAGCAGCCGCGGUAAUACAUAGGGUGCAAGCGUUGUCCGGAAUUAUUGGGCGUAAAGAGCUCGUAGGUGGUUUGUUACGUCGGUUGUGAAAUUCAGGGGCUCAACCCCUGACUUGCAGCCGAUACGGGCAAGCUAGAGUUUGGUAGGGGAGACUGGAAUUCCUGGUGUAGCGGUGGAAUGCGCAGAUAUCAGGAGGAACACCGAUGGCGAAGGCAGGUCUCUGGGCCAAUACUGACACUGAGGAGCGAAAGCGUGGGGAGCGAACAGGAUUAGAUACCCUGGUAGUCCACGCCGUAAACGWUKGKCUCUAGUUGUGCGAACCUUCCACGGUUUGUGCGACGCAGCUAACGC
rnacentral:rRNA from 1 species